GAGGUUCUGUAGUGUACGCCUUAUCCAAAUAUCAGGUUUGCCUUACAAUCUUGUUACUUUGGGGUUUCUGUUGAAAUUUGAUGAUGACAUGCCUUUUCACUUGGUAGUCAAAUGCAAAUUCACUUAAUCCCACCUGUCUUAAACGCAGGUCAACUCUGACGGAUGAUUAACGGCACCAACGGAUACUUC
rnacentral:other from 1 species